UACAGAGGGUGCAAGCGUUAAUCGGAUUUACUGGGCGUAAAGAGCGCGCAGGCGGUCGUACAAGUCGCGUGUGAAAGCCCCCGGCUCAACUGGGGAGGGUCACGCGAUACUGUUCGACUCGAAGGCAGGAGAGGGUAGUGGAAUUCCCGGUGUAGUGGUGAAAUGCGUAGAUAUCGGGAGGAACACCAGUGGCGAAGGCGACUACCUGGCCUGUUCUUGACGCUGAGGCGCGAAAAGCUAGGGUAGCAAACGGG
rnacentral:rRNA from 1 species